AUUGAACGCUGGCGGCAGGCCUAACACAUGCAAGUCGAGCGAGCGGCGGACGGGUGAGUAAUGUCUGGGAAACUGCCUGAUGGAGGGGGAGAACUACUGGAAACGGUAUCUAAUACCCCAUACCAUCAGACGUGCCCAGGUGGGAUUCGCUAGUGGGUGGGGUACCGGCUCACCUAGGCGACGAUCCCUAGCUGGUCUGAGAGGAUGACCAGCCACACUGGAACUGAGACACGGUCCAGACUCCUACGGGAGGCAGCAGUGGGGAAUAUUGCACAAUGGGCGAAAGCCUGAUGCAGCCAUGCCGCGUGUGUGAAGAAGGCCUUCGGGUUGUAAAGCACUUUCAGCGGGGAGGCGUUACCCGCAGAAGAAGCACCGGCUAACUCCGUGCCAGCAGCCGCGGUAAUUC
rnacentral:rRNA from 1 species